CGGACUAUCAGAUACCCGUUACUCAGCUAGUGGGAAUGCUAACGCAAAUUCAUAACUUUUCUGAUUUGAUAUCAAAAGGUGAAAGGAGGGGCGUGGGCACAGUGUUUUUGGUAUACCGAUACAGUUGACAAGACAAAUAAUAAAACGAAGAAAAAUCUAUACAGUUUUAGUUCUGGGCGGUUCUGGGCGGCUUGUGGGCGUUAGAGUGGGCGUGGCAGUAUGGAUCAACAAACUUGCGUUGCGUCUAUGUCUCUAGAAUCUGUGUGCCUAAUAUAAACCUUCUGGCCUUUAAAGUUCGUGAGAUCAAGGCGUUCAUACGGACGGACGAACAGAAGGAUAUGGUCAGAUCGACUGGACUAUUGAUCCUGAUCAAUUAUAUAUACACUUCCUUCUGCCUGUUACAUACUUUUACACGAAUCUAGUAUACCCUUUCACUCCACGAGUAACGGGUAUAACAAAGGAGACUGCUAUAGUCGACAGCAAGAUAUUUAAACAUUUUACAUGUGAACACUGUGUUCUGCAAUGGCGUUAUGUUGCAGGCAAUAAUUGGGGUAUGUGUAGCAAUGGUAUAGGAGCUAUUGGAUGUGGUCCACAAGAAGAAUUUCGUUCGUGCUCUGAUAUUGCCUUAACUACAGAAUAUUUGCACCCAUAUCUAGGUCCUAUUAGCGCACCACCUACACAAUCUAAUGGAAUGCCUGCGAACACGACACAUAAUUCUGUUAAUACACAAAGUGACAAAUUAAAGUAUAUUUUCAUCA